AUCUGGAGGCUGGGUGCUGGCGGGUCUAUUUUCUGUUGAAGACUGUCCUCUGCUUUCGGGAUGGCGCCUUGCUGCUGUGUCCGCUGUAGCUGCAGCUGGAUGAUGAGACAGAAGGAAGGGAGUCACCUCGGCAAGCCCUUUUCUAAGGUGCUAUCCCAUCUACAGGCGCUCCACCCACAUGACUUAAUCACUGCCUAAAGGCCGCACUUAUUACUAUCAGAUUGGUGAUUAAAUUUUAACAUAUGAAUUUUGGAGGACACAUUUAGACCACUGUAAUCAUUAAGGAUUUGUGAAGAAUAAUGGAUCACUUUUCAAAGAGUUAAAAAAAUUAACCUUUGUUAAUAAGAGUUAACAUAACUAUAUGAUUAUUUUGUUCUCAAUACAUUUAAAUGUCAAGCUUGGCUCCCUAACUAAAGCAAAGCUGAUAGAUAUAUAAUAUUCCGUAGACCUGUGAUAAAUACCUGCUCACAUGAUUUUUUGAGACAGUAAACUCAGUGGUGAGAUUAACUUUCUUCAUUAAGAUUAUAAAUCAACUUCAAGAAAACUACGCAAACUGCUAAUGAGAGUAGUUAUAUAUUAUUUCUUAAAUAUUAGACAUUUAUAACAAUUAGGAUAAAGUUUGGCUUAGCAAUAUGUUCAAAAUGAUUAUAUUUUAAUAGCAACUUGAGUAGGGCAAAGAGGUAGAUAUAUUUGGCAGUAUUCAUUAAUCGGAAAGUAGGUUACAGAAGAGUUCCAGUGUUUUGUUUCUCAUGUAUGUAAAUGCACAUGUAUGUAAAUGCACAUGUAUGUAAAUGCACAUGUACGUAAAUGCACAUGGGUACUUUCUUUUUUCAGAGAGCAUUGAAAACAUUUUUCAUCUAAGGACACAAAAAUGCAUGUUCAUAUGUAUAAACGGGAAAGUAUCAUUCCUGUUAAGCUGUUUCCGGCUUUAUUCUCUAGUACUUCAGUAGAAAUAAAGACACAUUGUGUAUAAAUCUGUCAAAAUGGGAUAUGCUCUUUUGUCACCACUUCAACACUUAUCAAGGUGGUUCCCUGGAAGACUCACUUGCAAGACUGUCUUUGUUUCACCAGAGAUGAGCUCAACCAGUUCAAAAAGUCUUUUCCCCAGGAUGAACUUAACUUCAGUUCCUGCAGACAGCUGUGGAUUUCUGCCUCCUCCGAGUAUACCUCUUCAUCUGGAUCUGAUGUCUGCACCACCACUCAGCAGCAGAGGGUACGAUACUGGCCAACAUGUCCUAGAGUGACAUCUCUGCCAUGUGACUGUGUACUGGGAUUCAGUACAGUAGAGUUCUGUAUUCUGGAAAGAAAUCCCAGAAGUCAAGUGCCCUGUUAUCUCAUCAAGAGUCCAUACUACGAACAUGAACUGUCACUGCUGAUGUGGGCCGGAAUCACCUACCUGAAGUGUUUAUGUUUCUUCAUUGUACAAUUGCUACUUGUAAUCCUUUUUUAUACUGUGCUACUUGGAAGGAAAUCACUAUGUGCAGCCAACACUUAAGAAAUGAGAAGGAUCAGCUGGGCAUAAGUCCUUCUAGCUUCUUCGUUUUUCUUAUUCAUAAUCUCCCAUCCUGACAAAAUCCACUAUCUACAUAGUUCAAAUUUCAGCAUCAUGUAUAGUACAUGUAUAUAUUGUAUUGUUAAUCUGUAUUCUUUUAGAGAACAACUUGAUCCAUUAGAGUUGCGCAAUUUCUUAUGUCUUUCUCUUCUAUUUUCAUUUCACUCAUUUUCAAAGUUACUUAGCUCACUAACUUUUUCUCUUUUACAAUAUAGAUUUUUUUUUGUCACAUUAUGUAUUCCCUCCACUGACUGAUUCCCUGGAUGGUUUUUCUUCAUUUUCAUACAUUAAGAUCCACUCUUUAUGGUGUAAAGUGUAUGGAUCUCGAUAAAUACUUAGCAUGUACCCACCAUUAACAAACCACGCACUGUAGUUUCUCUGCCUUAAAAAUUCCUAGUGUUUUCCCUCUUCGACCUUCUUUCUCCUCAUACCUGUGGCAACCAGUAAGCAUUUACAGUCUCUAUCAUUUUACCGCUACACAAGUAUGCAGUAUUACAUCACACAGUAUGCAGCCUCUUUAGACUGGCUUCUUUAAUUUAGUGCUAAUAAAUGAGCCAAAGAGGACCUCUGUGAAUUGGCU
rnacentral:lncRNA from 13 species